UACGUAGGGUGCAAGCGUUGUUCGGAUUUACUGGGCGUAAAGGGCGCGUAGGCGGUCGUGACAAGUCACUUGUGAAAUCUCCGGGCUUAACUCGGAACGGUCAAGUGAUACUGUCGGACUAGAGUACAGAAGGGGCAACUGGAAUUCUCGGUGUAGCGGUGAAAUGCGUAGAUAUCGGGAGGAACACCUGUGGCGAAAGCGGCUCACUGGACCAUUACUGACGCUGAGGCGCGAAAAGCUAGGGGAGCAAACAGG
rnacentral:rRNA from 1 species